CGCAGGCUCUCUCUCCACCUCCCUCAUCCAUCUGGCUCUCAGUUUCUUCACGCGGCGUGGAUGGUCCUGUCUCAGCUGGGCGACAGGUCGGCCGGUGUCUCCACCUGCUGAACCAAGCUGCUGACUUUUUUUUCCCCCCAACAACAAACGUUGAGCUGGUUCAGAAGUUAAGAACACUACUCCCUGCUUCUCCGAAGACCUGAGUUCAGUUCCCAGAAGCUGCAUCAGGCCCCCACUGGCACCCGCACCUUACCUAGGCAUAUCUACACACAGGCUGAGGCUCCAUCCACAAGGCUCUGUUGCUGACUCUCUUCAGAAGCCCCACGCUGAACGUCUUGAUGCCUUGAUCAUCAGCAAGAUUCCAGAGGAGGACACAAGCACUAAAGCUUGGAGGAGCAAGCUUCUUGACUGUGUGACCGCGUUAAGCACAGCGACCACCUGGGCAUUUAGCAUCACGUCCUGAGAAACGGGUUUUUCUAUCAGAGGAGUAAUCACCCGUGACAUCUCAGCAAGAUGGCCGCCUGAACAAGACAAAAACAACUACACCACCAAUAGACAAGACCAAAAUAAGAAUUACAACACCAAUAACACGAGAGAUUAGGGGUUUCAUGAGGCCUUACCCCUAAACAAAGAAUAACAAGCAACUAAGGAAUGCAGAGAGGAGAGAGAGUCUUUCCCAGGGACCAGCCCCUAAUUGGCUAUCCAAUACCAAUUGGUCAGCCCUGAAACUGUACACAUACAUACAAGGAAAACUACAUGGACUGAGAAAGGUGUGUGUGUGUGUUUGCGAAACAAUAGCAAAAGUGGAGCAUGGAUCUCAGAGGGAGAAAGGGGAGGGGCUGGCGAGAGGAGAGAGAAAGGACCGGGAGAUACAGUGUAACUAAACUUUAACUUCAUAAGCUAAAAAAGUGUGACUGAUACUUAUGGUCUUAGCCUUGCUACCUGCGGCCAUUGCAAUGCUGAGGUGUAGCCCUUCACCCGGAACCUUCCAGAAGCCCGUUCUCAGGAUAGCUGGAAGACACUGGAAACGCCUGGGAGCUGAUGUAAAGGCUUUGCACUGGGAGCCCCUGCAUCUGUCCCGUCUCCCCCACUCCUGUCCCAUCCUCUGCCAGCUGCCCUUGGGGAGCAUUUUCUCUCUACUUCUUGUCCUUGUCUCCUCAGGACCAUUCCCUAGAGAGCCUGAUCUAAGACAGCAAGUAAGUAAAUCAAAAUAAGGAGCUGUGGUCGGUCCCCGAAGAAAGGGGCAUUGUGAUG